rnacentral:rRNA from 1 species
CGGGGUGAGUAACGCGUGGGUAACCUGCCUCAUACAGGGGGAUAACAGUUAGAAAUGACUGCUAAUACCGCAUAAGCGCACAGUGCUGCAUGGCACAGUGUGAAAAACUCCGGUGGUAUGAGAUGGACCCGCGUCUGAUUAGGUAGUUGGUGGGGUAACGGCCUACCAAGCCGACGAUCAGUAGCCGACCUGAGAGGGUGACCGGCCACAUUGGGACUGAGACACGGCCCAA